UUUUUUUUUUAAAAAAAACCACCUGUGCACACACUGUAGAUCUGGAUUGAACUUUUUCGAGGAUUAUUAACUCGGUUUUGAGAAUUGCUUUGGCUGUUCUUGUGUUCUCCAGGUCUAUGUUUUAAACAAUAUACUCCAACAAGUAAUAGAAUGUCAAAUUAUGGGCCUUUUGUGCCUUUAAAAUCUAAUACAACUUUCAACAACGGAUCUCUUGGCUCUCGCAUCGAUGAAGAACGCAGCGAAAUGCGAUAAGUAAUGUGAAUUGCAGAAUUCAGUGAAUCAUCGAAUCUUUGAACGCACCUUGCACUCCUUGGUAUUCCGAGGAGUAUGCCUGUUUGAGUGUCAUAAAAUUCUCAACCUUUCCGGCUUUUAUUGAGCUGGUCAGAAUUGGACUAUGGGAGUUGCUGGCUUCUUUUGAAGAUCAGCUCUUCUUAAAUGCAUUAGCGAAAUUCUUGGCUUGAUUAUCUUUGGUAUGAUACAUUAUCUACACCAUUGUAAUGUAGCCUUUCCACUUUUCAAGGUUUUCAGGCUCCACUUGGAGAUUAUGUUUUCAAGUGUUCGAAUCAACCGUUCUGAAGCACCCGCUUUAUGCACGGAUGUUAAUUCAUCUGAUGGUGUUGAAUAUUUCAGGUUGACGAAGCGAAAGCGUUCUUUGGAGCGCUCACGAGAGCAAGCAGUAUCAAUGUGUUAAUGAUGCAUUGAUAUGUGCACUGUCAUAUUCCUGUACCUACCCUAGUCACUAUGUGGCUUUGAUGGGUCUGGUCAAACCAUGACCUGAACAUGUCCUUAUCAGUGGAAGGAUUUUUUGCUUCUAAUAUACAUUGUUUCUUAUGGAAUGAUGCUCUUUUUGACAA
rnacentral:misc_RNA from 1 species